GAGCCUGCGUUUCAUUAGCUAGUUGGUAGGGUAAUGGCCUACCAAGGCAACGAUGAGUAGCUGGUCUGAGAGGAUGAUCAGCCACACUGGAACUGAAACACGGUCCAGACUCCUACGGGAGGCAGCAGUGGGGAAUAUUGCGCAAUGGGCGAAAGCCUGACGCAGCAACGCCGUGUGAGGGAUGAAGGCCUUCGGGUCGUAAACCUCUGUCGGAAGGGAAGAACGGGCAUUGGUCUAAUAGGCCUUUGUUUUGACGGUACCUUUAGAGGAAGCACCGGCUAACUCCGUGCCAGCAGCCGCGGUAAUACGGAGGGUGCAAGCGUUAUUCGGAAUUACUGGGCGUAAAGCGCACGUAGGCCGCUUUGUAAGUCAGGGGUGAAAUCCCACGGCUCAACCGUGGAACUGCCUUUGAAACUGCAGAGCUUGAAUCCUGGAGAGGGUGGCGGAAUUCCUGGUGUAGGAGUGAAAUCCGUAGAUAUCAGGAGGAACACCGGUGGCGAAGGCAGCCACCUGGACAGGCAUUGACGCUGAGGUGCGAAAGUGUGGGGAGCAAACAGGAUUAGAUACCCUGGUAGUCCACACCGUAAACGAUGAACACUAGGUGCCGGAG
rnacentral:rRNA from 1 species